GACGAACGCUGGCGGCGCGCUUAACACAUGCAAGUCGAACGAUGACGACCGAGCUUGCUCGGUCUGAUUAGUGGCGAACGGGUGAGUAACACGUGAGCAACCUGCCCUUCACUCUGGGAUAACCUCGGGAAAUCGGGGCUAAUACCGGAUAUGAGCUCCUGUCGCAUGGCGGGUGUUGGAAAGUUUUUCGGUGAAGGAUGGGCUCGCGGCCUAUCAGUUUGUUGGUGAGGUAGUGGCUCACCAAGGCGAUGACGGGUAGCCGGCCUGAGAGGGCGACCGGCCACACUGGGACUGAGACACGGCCCAGACUCCUACGGGAGGCAGCAGUGGGGAAUAUUGCACAAUGGGCGAAAGCCUGAUGCAGCGACGCCGCGUGAGGGAUGACGGCCUUCGGGUUGUAAACCUCUUUCAGCAGGGAAGAAGCGAAAGUGACGGUACCUGCAGAAGAAGCGCCGGCUAACUACGUG
rnacentral:rRNA from 1 species